rnacentral:rRNA from 1 species
UACGGGGGGGGCAAGCGUUGUUCGGAAUUACUGGGCGUAAAGGGCUCGUAGGCGGCCCACUAAGUCCGACGUGAAAUCCCCAGGCUUAACUUGGGAACUGCGUCGGAUACUGGUGGGCUUGAAUCCGGGAGAGGGAUGCGGAAUUCCAGGUGUAGCGGUGAAAUGCGCAGAUAUCGGGAAGAACACCCGUGGCGAAGGCGGCUCUCUGGGACGGUACUGACGCUGAGACGCGAAAGCGUGGGGAGCGAACAGG